GGGGCCGUGGGGUAGCCUGGUAUCCUUCGAGGUUCGGGACCUCGUGACCCCGGUUCGAAUCCGGGCAGCCCCA
rnacentral:tRNA from 1 species